GACGAACGCUGGCGGCGUGCUUUAUACAUGCAAGUCGAACGAUGAAGUUCCUUCGGGAAUGGAUUAGUGGCGAACGGGUGAGGAACACGUGAGAAACCUGCCUUUCAUUCUGGGAUAACACCGGGAAACCGGUGCUAAUACCGGAUACUCCAUCUUGGCGGCAUCGCCGAGCUGGGAAAAAAUUUUGAUGAAAGAUGGUCUCGCGGCCUAUCAGCUAGUUGGUGAGGUAAAGGCUCACCAAGGCGACGACGGGUAGCCGGCCUGAGAGGGCGACCGGCCACACUGGGACUGAGACACGGCCCAGACUCCUACGGGAGGCAGCAGUAGGGAAUAUUGGGCAGCGGGCGAAAGCCUGACCCAGCGACGCCGCGUGAGGGAUGAAGGUCUUCGGAUUGUAAACCUCUUUCAGUAGGGAAGAAGCGAAAGUGACGGUACCUAAAGAAGAAGCACCGGCUAACUAUGUGCCAGCAGCCGCGGUAAUACAUAGGGUGCAAGCGUUGUCCGGAAUUAUUGGGCGUAAAGAGCUCGUAGGUCGUUUGUCGCGUCGAUUGUGAAAAUCUGAGGCUCAACCUCAGACCUGCAGUCGAUACGGGCAAACUAGAGUGUGGUAGGGGAGACUGGAAUUCCUGGUGUAGCGGUGGAAUGCGCAGAUAUCAGGAGGAACACCAAUGGCGAAGGCAGGUCUCUGGGCCAUAACUGACACUGAGGAGCGAAAGUGCGGGGAGCGAACAGGAUUAGAUACCCUGGUAGUCCGCACCGUAAACGGUGGGCACUAGUUGUGGGAACCUUCCACGGUUUCCGCGACGCAGCAAACGCAUUAAGUGCCCCGCCUGGGGAGUACGAUCGCAAGAUUAAAACUCGAAGGAAUUGACGGGGCCCCGCACAAGCAGCGGAGCAUGCGGCUUAAUUCGACGCAACGCGAAGAACCUUACCAAGGCUUGACAUAUAGCGAAAAGUGGCAGAGAUGUCA
rnacentral:rRNA from 1 species